UAAGGAAUAUUGGUCAAUGGACGCAAGUCUGAACCAGCCAUGCCGCGUGAAGGAUGAAGGUCUUCUGGAUUGUAAACUUCUUUUAUCUGGGACGAAAACGGGAUUUUUAUCUCAAUUGACGGUACCAGAGGAAUAAGCACCGGCUAACUCCGUGCCAGCAGCCGCGGUAAUACGGAGGGUGCGAGCGUUAUCCGGAUUUACUGGGUUUAAAGGGUGCGUAGGUGGGCUUAUAAGUCAGUGGUGAAAUCUCCGAGCUUAACUUGGAAACUGCCGUUGAUACUAUAGGUCUUGAAUUAUCUGGAGGUAAGCGGAAUAUGUCAUGUAGCGGUGAAAUGCUUAGAUAUGACAUAGAACACCAAUUGCGAAGGCAGCUUACUACAUAUAAAUUGACGCUGAGGCACGAAAGCGUGGGGAUCAAACA
rnacentral:rRNA from 1 species